ANGACCUCUGUGUUAUANAUGCGGGGAGCUUACCUGUAAACGGGGUCUUAUACCGGAUACCACUACCUCCGGCAUCUGUGGUGGUUGAAAGCUCCAGCGGUCUAUGAUGAACCCGCGGCCUAUCAACUUGUUGGUGAGGGAAUGGCUCACCCACGCGACCACGGGUAGCCCGGCUGAGAGGGCGACCGGACACCCUGGGACUGAAACACAGCCCANACUCCUACAGGAGGCAGGAAUGGGGAAUAUUUUACAAUGGGCCAAAGCCCGAUGCACCGACGCCCCCUGAGGGAUUACGGGCUUCCGGUUGUAAACCUCUUUCAUUAGGGAAGAAACGAAAGUGACGGUAMCUKCAAWACAANCGCCGGCURACUACGUGCCAACAACCCCCGRAAUAUAUAUGGCGGCAGCCUUGUCCGGAAUUAUUGGGCGURCAKAACUCGUAMGCAGUUUGUSACCUYMGGKGKCAAACCCCCGGGYUUAUCCCMGGGACUGCMUUCCAUMCGGGCUAGCYAGAGUGUGGUAAGGGAGAUCGGAAAUCCUGGGGCACNNNNNNNNNNNNNNGAUAUCGGGAUGAACACCGGUGGGGGAAGGCGGAUCUUUGGGCCAUCACUGACGUUGAGGAACGAAAGCGUUGGGAGAGAACAGGAUUAGAAACCCGCGUAGUUCACNCCGUAAACCGUGGGAACUAGGAGUUGGGUACAUUUCAUGUCGUCUGUGCCGCAGCUUACGCAUUAAGUUCCCCGCCUAGGGAGUACGGCCGCAAGGCUAAAACUCAAAGGAAUUGAAGGGGGCCCGCACAAGCAGCGGAGCCAGUGGNUUAAUUUGACGCAACGAGAAGAACCUUACCAAGGCUUGACAUACGCCGGAAAGCCUCAGAGAUUGUGCCCCCGAUGUGGGCGUUGUACAGGUGGAACAUGGCUGUCNUCAGCUCGUGUUCAAGAUGUUGGGUUAAAUCCCGCAACGAGCGCAACCCUUGUCCAACCUGCCACCAUGCCCUUCGGGGUGAUGGGGAGUCACUGGAAACCGCCGGGGUCAAAUCGGAGGAAGGUGGGGGGGGAGUCAAGUCAUCAUGCCCCUUAUGUAUGGGUAGGCACACGUGCUUCAAUGACAGGUACAAUGAAAGGGGAAACACCGAGGGAGAGCGAAUCUCAAAAAGCCUGUCUCAGUUAGUAUUGGGGUCUGUAACUAGCUCCCAUGAAGUCGGAGUGGCUAGUAAUUGCAGAUCAGCAUUGAUGCGGCGAAUACGUUCCCGCCCCUUCUUCACCCCCCCCCCCACNUCACCAAAGUCGGUAACACCCAAGAA
rnacentral:rRNA from 1 species